GGAGAAGAGAACAGUUCAGGUUGGGAUAACUCAUGAUUUAAAUGACUCUGAAAUUUUGACUUUUUCUUUAAUGUCACAGUGCUGCAAAUAAUCUCACUGGCCCAUGAACAUGUAUUUUUAUAUUUUUAUUUUUUAAAACGGAAAGAUUUUUUCUAAUGAGCUGAGGACAGAUGCUUGAAUUUAUAGCCAGAAAGGGCUGACAGAGGUUUAGUCUGCAAUGCAGGUAGACACAGUAUUAGGAGCAGCAGAGAUUAGGUGCCAGGAUGCAGGAAUGUAGCAGCGUCUAGUUUUUAUGUGCAUCAAAAAACAAACAAACAAACAAACAAACAACAGCAGCAACAACAACAACAACAACCCACUCCACCCUUCCCAAUUCACAAACAAUAGCAAAAAUCAAGAAGGAGUGGGAAAGUCCUGUGAAAGAAGGGAAUCUAUUGAUCUUCUGAGCAGUGGAGGACUACAACACUGAAACCUUAAAACAUUGUUUUCAGCAAAGUCCAGUGUAACUUCUUUAGAUGCUAUGGUCUAUUUGUGCAGGUUUGUCUUCUUCUUUCCUGGGAAAAUCCAGCCAUUGCUGUACACCAGUCAGAAAAGAAUGAACCAAAGUCCUGAAUGGGUGGGUCAGCAGGAUCAUGGUUGACAACCAAGGAGAAAAGGUCAUAGAUCUCUUAGAUGAGAUUCAAUGAAACAGCUUGAGCACAUGCUCUUUAUUCAGGGUGAAUCAAGGGCGGUAUAUAUGAACCUUGGCAAAUGGAAUGGGGCUCUUUUUAUAGUGAAGUUUCAUUGUCUGAGGCUGAAGUUUCUGGAAAAACCAAAUUUGCAUGGGGAAACGUUCCAGAAAUCCCAGGUGCUUGCUGAGCAGGUUCUGAUCUGGAGAGAGGAAGGUGAACCUGUUAUUUUGCCAAGGACUACGUGACAUUUCUCAGAUAGGGCACUGGGGGUAGGGCUCCCCAUCUCAGGCAGAGAAGAGAAAGCCCAGGUAAGAAAAGAGAGGCCUUCAUUUUGGGCUGAGGUCAGGAAAGCUGUCUGGACAUGGUAGACUACAACCUUAGAAGCAAGGGGUAAUAAUCUGAACUGAAAGAGCUGAAGCUUUACAGUUUCAUGGGGUCCUUUCCUAAUUGCUGAUCGUAAUACCUGUACUAUCAGUGUUCUGUUCACAAAGUCUGUUCUUGGGCCAAAGAGUUUAAGGCUAUUCCUGCACUUUGUCUUCUAUCAGUUUUAGUACAUCUGAUUUUAUGUUAAGGCUUCUGAUCUACUUGGACUUGACAUUUGUGCAGGGUCAUAAGUAUGGAUCUUUUUGAAUUCUUCUACAUGCAAACAGCCAGUACGACCAGUGUCAUUUGUUGAAGAUGUUAUCCUGUUUCUCUCUGAAGUACAACUUGAAGCUUGUAGAGCCUUCAAGCAGCUCUUGAAUUGUUCAGGAUUGUUUCAGGUCCUGGAAUGACCUAUUUCUCCUACAUCUUCGAAGGCCUCGAUUGUGAUUCAUCUCCCAUCUCACAAACAUUACCGGUCCGCUGAGAGAGAACUGACCAUUCGCAUUGUGUUUCUCAUACAACAUCAUCUGGAUUUCUGCAAUCAACUUCCUGAUUUGUCUUCAGUGGCCCUGGAGAGAUUCUGUCUAGGAAGAUUAUGCGUUUUUUCCCCCUUGCUUAAAUUCUUAGAGUCCUCAUCACAUGCUAACUACAGAGCUUAAGAGUGGGAUAGCAUAGGGGAAAUGUGUACAAAUCUUGCUUAGUAAUUCCAAUCUAUGUGUCUUUUCCCAAACUAGAAAUGACUAAUCUAAAAGAUAACCACAGCUAACAUUGAAAGCAGGCAUAUCUUAACAACUGAACACAUAUUUAUCAUCCUGUUUUAUAAUACAUAUUUAUAACAGUGUCUUAUGGCACUAUUUUAUGUCCACACAAGAAAAUGGAAGCUGAGAAAAGAUAAAUAACUUAUAUAGGAUUACAAUAAAACGCAAUCCUAGCAGAACAAGAAGCAAAAUGGGUAUCCUGUAGAUCCCACAUCUAUACUCCUAAGCUUUGCAUUUAUUUAACUCACAAUACAGUGUUUAUUUCA